GACGUAGGGCGCGAGCGUUGUCCGGAUUUAUUGGGCGUAAAGAGCUCGUAGGCGGCUUGUUGCGUCGACCGUGAAAACCCGGGGCUCAACUUCGGGCUUGCGGUCGAUACGGGCGGGCUAGAGUUCGGUAGGGGAGACUGGAAUUCCUGGUGUAGCGGUGAAAUGCGCAGAUAUCAGGAGGAACACCGGUGGUGUAGACGGCUCUCUGGACCGUAACUGACGCUGAGACACGAAAGCGUGGGUAGCAAACAGG
rnacentral:rRNA from 1 species